CUGCAGCCCUGGGGCCCGGGAGGACUGCGGCCGCGGAACGUCGUAGAGGAUCAGGGAAGGUUCAGGGUCGACCUCCAGACUCAGUCCUUGGGUUGGGUGGCAGGGUGGGGGCACUAGGGUGGGGAGAUCUCGAGUUUAGGCCAUAAAAAAGAUCAGAAAGAGAAGAGCCCGAGAGAGAGGUGGCCCACCUUGGCCCCGGAGCUUGGGAGGGCGGGUCCCGGCUGGGGUUCGUGGGAUCUGGACCCACUCGCCCCCCGGGACGCGAGCGCGGCGGGGACCGGGCGCGCGAGGCUGCGCCGAGAGAGGGCGCCGGCCCAGGUGCGGCCUCUGGGUGUGGCCGAAGCCAGCCCAGGCGGCCCGGAUUGUCGUCCUCUGCGGAAGCGGCCCGGGCGCGGGAGCCGCGGGCGUAGCCAGCUCCGGAGCCCCGCGCCUCCGCCGCCCCGCGCGCCCUUCCUUUGUGUCUCCCAAGCAGGGGUGAACGCAGACCACUUGGAUUUGAUUUUUCCGUGCGAGUUCCCUUUUUUCCAAGUUCGGGGCCCCUCCUUCCCCCAGCGGCGCGCGCCCCCGGGGUGUCCGCCCCCUCCCCCUCCGGCCCAGCCCUGGGCGGGGCAGACGCCCUUGGAGUCGGGAGAAAAGACUAUCUGAUUUCAAAACCGACGCGACCCGAGCUGGGCUGCGGAAAUGGCGCCCAUGUCCCGGCUCCGGCCAGGUCGUGAUCAGGAGACAGAGCCAUAAGGAAUUAAUAAUCUUGGCUACUGGGCUGGGAGCAGUGGCUCACACCUGUAAUCCCAGCACCUUGGCAAGCCAAGAUGGGAGGAUUGCUUGAGGCCAGGAGUUCGAGACCAGCCUGGGCAACAGUGAGGCCCUGUCUCUACAACAAACAAGCAAACAAACAAACAAGAACAACAAAAAAACUCAGCUACCACUUCAUGAGUAUCUAUGCUGCGCCAGGGACUACUUCAGGUACUAAAUUCAUGCAUCUUAUAUAGAGACGGGAGCACGGUAGGGGAUGGCAGAGACAGGUCACUCAGGAAGUUAAGCCAAGGCCAGGUUGGAAGUUAAGCCAGGCCCUGCCGCUGGGUGAACUACACAGGCAACGAGCAUUCCACCCUGCCCUGCUGGGUAUGCACAGUCUCAGUGUGGUAUUCCUAGUGCUGCCCGAGCAGGUGCCAGAGGCACCUUGGGGUGGGGUUAUCAUUCUGGAAGCUAGAAGGACCAGCAGCUCAGGCAGGGUCCAGUUCCUAUUGAUUCUACCCUGAAAUGUCCCUCAAUUCCCUCGACGUCUCACCAUUUGUCCCUAGAUCACCACACAGAGUCCUUCCUUGCCAACUGGCAGUGCUCCUUUUUUUUCUUUUUGAGACGGAGUCUUGCUCUGUCGCCCAGGCUGGGGUGCAGUGGCGCGAUCUCAGCUCACUGCAACUUCCGCCUCCCAGCUUCAAGCCAUUCUCCCGCGUCAGCCUCCCGAGUAGCUGGGACUACAGCUAAUUUAAUAUUUUUUGUAUUUUUAGUAGAGACGGAGUUUCACCAUGUUGGCCAGGAUGGUCUCGAUCUCUUGACCUCAUGAUCCGCCUGCCUCGGCCUCCCAAAGUGCUGGGGUUACAGGUUUCAGCCACCGCACCCAGCCUCCC
rnacentral:lncRNA from 1 species